rnacentral:rRNA from 1 species
AAUGCAUCGGAACGUGCCCAGUCGUGGGGGAUAACGCAGCGAAAGCUGCGCUAAUACCGCAUACGAUCUAUGGAUGAAAGCGGGGGACCGUAAGGCCUCGCGCGAUUGGAGCGGCCGAUGUCAGAUUAGGUAGUUGGUGGGGUAAAGGCUCACCAAGCCAACGAUCUGUAGCUGGUCUGAGAGGGCGACCAGCCACACUGGGACUGAGACACGGCCCAGACUCCUACGGGAGGCAGCAGUGGGGAAUUUUGGACAAUGGGCGCAAGCCUGAUCCAGCAAUGCCGCGUGCAGGAAGAAGGCCUUCGGGUUGUAAACUGCUUUUGUACGGAACGAAAAGGCUCUGGUUAAUACCUGGGGCACAUGACGGUACCGUAAGAAUAAGCACCGGCUAACUACGUGCCAGCAGCCGCGGUAAUACGUAGGGUGCAAGCGUUAAUCGGAAUUACUGGGCGUAAAGCGUGCGCAGGCGGUUUUGUAAGACAGGCGUGAAAUCCCCGGGCUUAACCUGGGAAUUGCGCUUGUGACUGCAAGGCUGGAGUGCGGCAGAGGGGGAUGGAAUUCCGCGUGUAGCAGUGAAAUGCGUAGAUAUGCGGAGG